rnacentral:rRNA from 1 species
UACGGAGGAUGCGAGCGUUAUCCGGAUUUAUUGGGUUUAAAGGGUGCGUAGGCGGCUUUUUAAGUCAGCGGUGAAAUUUUGCAGCUUAACUGUAACAGUGCCGCUGACACUGGGGAGCUAGGAUUUGGUUGCUGUGGGUGGAAUGUGUGGUGUAGCGGUGAAAUGCUUAGAGAUCACACAGAAUAUCGAUUGCGAAGGCAGCUCACAAAGCCAAGAUUGACGCUGAGGCACGAAAGUGUGGGGAUCAAACAGGA